rnacentral:lncRNA from 10 species
UGGCCCCCGCCUCCGCCUGCACCUCCCUGCAUGCCGGCUGCUCCUUGGCAAACACCACCUUGGGCUCUGGGAUGGACAAGGAGGGAUGCAGGGUCAGAGGCUCCAGAGCAGACACAGCCCAUGUGUCAGCCCAGUGACAGCCAGGCAGGGCUGUCCAUCAUUAAGCAGUGCACGGUGACGCACAGAGCUCCCCCCGGCACUACCAGAGCCAAAGGUCUAAGGCUGCAUGUUGGCAGCACCAUCAUCAUGUCCCUUGGGAACAGGAUGCGGCCCCUUCCCUGCCUCGGUCUUCCAGGGCCCUGGGGCCCUCACCUGUCGCCAGCCCUCCCCACCACGCAGGGCCACAGGCAGUAGGACGUGAAGGGUCAGGAGAGAUGGACCAGCAACCUGGGCCAGCCCAGAGGCAGCGGAGUGUUGGCAGGGCCAUUGGAAAGAGGGUGCCAAGCUGAGUGUGGUCUGUUGUCCCCAGCUCAGGGACAGGGUGGAAGGGAGAUGGAUAUCAGAAAGACAGGUGGACACAUGGUGAUGACCAAGGGGCCCAGCACAGGCUUACAGAGAUCUAGGGCCCAGAGCACAGAGACAAGCCCCCACCACCCAGUACACGCUCUCCAGUCACUGCCGGGCCCUCCCAUGGCCCAGCACCCACAGAGGAGUCAGCAGAUCACAUUAGACCAGACCCAGACCCCCACCCCAAGGACAUCACACCACUGUCCCCACCACCCAGACAGAAAUCAUCACAUCUGACCAGACCCGGACCCCAGACCCCCGAGGACAUCACGCUACUGUCCCUACCACCCAGACAGGGGUCCUCACAUGAGACCGGACCCAGACCCCAGACCCACACCCCAAGGACAUCAUGCUACUGUCCCUACCACCCCCGGCUCAGCCACUGCAGGGCACACACCAUGGUCAACUCAGCCCAUGGGCCUGCUCUAGUCUCAUGACAUAAGGACACUGGCCUGAGAGCUGCUGGGGAGAGCUGGGGACACAGAUUCUGAGGCCUACAUAGAGGGAAGGUGCCAGGGCCCACAGCACCUUGGGCCGCCCAAACAUGCCCUUGUAGUUUCACACCCGACACUCAGCAUCACCUCCAUUUUGCCUAACCCUGGCACCCACCAGCCACAUGCAGAUGGAAGGAGAGCCGCUGGCCCCCAGCCUCGCAGCUGUACUCCCCGGCGUCCGCCUGGCCUGCCUCCUGCACCACCA